rnacentral:rRNA from 1 species
CGGGGAAUCUUCCGCAAUGGACGAAAGUCUGACGGAGUAACGCCGCGUGAACGAAGAAGGUCUUCGGAUUGUAAAGUUCUGUGAUUCGGGACGAAAGGGUUUGUGGUGAAUAAUCAUAGACAUUGACGGUACCGAAAAAGCAAGCCACGGCUAACUACGUGCCAGCAGCCGCGGUAAU